rnacentral:misc_RNA from 1 species
GGAAGGAUCAUUACCGAGUGCGGGUCCUUUGGGCCCAACCUCCCAUCCGUGUCUAUUAUACCCUGUUGCUUCGGCGGGCCCGCCGCUUGUCGGCCGCCGGGGGGGCGCCUUAGCCCCCCGGGCCCGUGCCCGCCGGAGACCCCAACACGAACACUGUCUGAAAGCGUGCAGUCUGAGUUGAUUGAAUGCAAUCAGUUAAAACUUUCAACAAUGGAUCUCUUGGUUCCGGCAUCGAUGAAGAACGCAGCGAAAUGCGAUAACUAAUGUGAAUUGCAGAAUUCAGUGAAUCAUCGAGUCUUUGAACGCACAUUGCGCCCCCUGGUAUUCCGGGGGGCAUGCCUGUCCGAGCGUCAUUGCUGCCCUCAAGCCCGGCUUGUGUGUUGGGUCGCCGUCCCCCUCUCCGGGGGGACGGGCCCGAAAGGCAGCGGCGGCACCGCGUCCGAUCCUCGAGCGUAUGGGGCUUUGUCACAUGCUCUGUAGGAUUGGCCGGCGCCUGCCGACGUUUUCCAACCAUUUUUUCCAGGUUGACCUCGGAUCAGGUAGGGAUACCCGCUGAACUUAAGCAUAUCAAUAAGCGGAGGAAAAGAAACCAACCGGGAUUGCCUCAGUAACGGCGAGUGAAGCGGCAAGAGCUCAAAUUUGAAAGCUGGCUCCUUCGGAGUCCGCAUUGUAAUUUGCAGAGGAUGCUUUGGGUGCGGCCCCCGUCUAAGUGCCCUGGAACGGGCCGUCAGAGAGGGUGAGAAUCCCGUCUUGGGCGGGGUGUCCGUGCCCGUGUAAAGCUCCUUCGACGAGUCGAGUUGUUUGGGAAUGCAGCUCUAAAUGGGUGGUAAAUUUCAUCUAAAGCUAAAUACUGGCCGGAGACCGAUAGCGCACAAGUAGAGUGAUCGAAAGAUGAAAAGCACUUUGAAAAGAGAGUUAAACAGCACGUGAAAUUGUUGAAAGGGAAGCGCUUGCGACCAGACUCGCCCGCGGGGUUCAGCCGGCAUUCGUGCCGGUGUACUUCCCCGUGGGCGGGCCAGCGUCGGUUUGGGCGGCCGGUCAAAGGCCCCUGGAAUGUAGUACCCUCCGGGGUACCUUAUAGCCAGGGGUGCAAUGCGGCCAGCCUGGACCGAGGAACGCGCUUCGGCACGGACGCUGGCAUAAUGGUCGUAAACGACCCGUCUUGAAACACGGACCAAGGAGUCUAACAUCUACGCGAGUGUUCGGGUGUCAAACCCGUGCGCGCAGUGAAAGCGAACGGAGGUGGGAGCCCCCUCGCGGGGCGCACCAUCGACCGAUCCUGAUGUCUUCGGAUGGAUUUGAGUAAGAGCGUAAAUGUGGGGACCCGAAAGAUGGUGAACUAUGCCUGAAUAGGGCGAAGCCAGAGGAAACUCUGGUGGAGGCUCGCAGCGGUUCUGACGUGCAAAUCGAUCGUCAAAUUUGGGUAUAGGGGCGAAAGACUAAUCGAACCAUCUAGUAGCUGGUUCCUGC